AGUCGCGUGGUGAGCACAUACUGAAUUAUUCUUUUGCCUUUUACUAGAGAAUACCGUCUACUUGUCACCUGCAUCGGCGUAAGCCAAAUUUUGAAGGGUUUGAAGGGUCUUCUUCUU